ensembl:lncRNA
UAGUGGUAAUAAUAGUAGUAGUAAUAGGAGUAGAGGAGGAGGAGGAGGAAUAGUGGUAAUAAUAGUAGUAGUAAUAGGAGGAGGAGGAGGAGGAAUAGUGGUAAUAGUAGUAGUAAUAGGAGGAGGAGGAGGAAUAGUGGUAAUAAUAGAGGAGGAGGAGGAAUAGUGGUAAUAAUAGUAGUAGUAAUAGGAGGAGGAGGAAUAGUGGUAAUAGUCGGAGGAGGAGGAGAAUAGUGGUAAUAGUAGUAGUAGGAGGAGGAGGAAUAGUGGUAAUAGUAGUAGUAGGAGGAGGAGGAAUAGUGGUAAUAGUAGUAAGUAGAAUAGGAGGAGGAGGAAUAGUGGUAAUAG